AGUCUCAAACUUGUGUUUAGGAUGUUUGACAUGGAAAUGUAUGCUGUGGACUCUUUGCUCACUCAGCCUGCUCAGCCUAUGUCAUUUUGUCCAAAGUCAUCUAAUCCUGUGCCUGCUCCUGUAACACCGGCACCGCCUAGACAAGUAGCACCGGAUCCGCCUAGACAGGUAGCACCGGUUCCUCCUAGACAAGUAACACCGGCACCGCCUAGACAAGUAACGCCAGCCAGUCCUCCACCUUACAGGCUUCCCCCAAUAGCUCCAUUGCCGCCUAUGCCUCACUUGCCACCACUUCCACCAAUGCCUCACCUGCCACCACUGCCACC
rnacentral:lncRNA from 1 species